GUCCCGCAACGAGCGCAACCCUUGUCAUUAGUUGCUACGAAAGGGCACUCUAAUGAGACUGCCGGUGACAAACCGGAGGAAGGUGGGGAUGACGUCAAGUCCUCAUGGCCCUUAUGGGUAGGGCUUCACACGUCAUACAAUGGUACAUACAGAGGGCCGCCAACCCGCGAGGGGGAGCUAAUCCCAGAAAGUGUAUCGUAGUCCGGAUUGUAGUCUGCAACUCGACUACAUGAAGUUGGAAUCGCUAGUAAUCGCGGAUCAGCAUGUCGCGGUGAAUACGUUCCCGGGUCUUGUACACACCGCCCGUCACACCAUGGGAGCGGGUUCUGCCAGAAGUAGGUAGCUUAACCGUAAGGAGGGCGCUUACCACGGCAGGGUUCGUGACUGGGGUGAAGUCGUAACAAGGUAACCGUA
rnacentral:rRNA from 1 species